CCUACGGGAGGCAGCAGUGAGGAAUAUUGGUCAAUGGGCGGGAGCCUGAACCAGCCAAGCCGCGUGAGGGAAGAAGGUCCAGCGUAUCGUAAACCUCUUUUGUCAGGGAACAAAGCCGGGCACUCGUCCCCGGAUGAGGGUACCCGACGAAAAAGCAUCGGCUAACUCCGUGCCAGCAGCCGCGGUAAUACGGAGGAUGCGAGCGUUAUCCGGAUUUAUUGGGUUUAAGGGGUGCGCAGGCGGCCUGUUAAGUCAGCGGGAAAAGCCCGGGGCUAAACCCCGGAGAGCCGUUGAAACUGGCGGGCUGGAGUGGGAGAGAGGUACGCGGAAUGCGCGGUGUAGCGGUGAAAUGCUUAGAGAUCAUACAGAACACCGAUUGCGAAGGCAGGUUACCGGGCUGCAACUGACGUUGAGGCACGAAAGCGUGGGGAGCAAACAGGAUUAGAUACCCGUGUAGUC
rnacentral:rRNA from 1 species